UACAGAGGGUGCGAGCGUUAAUCGGAAUUACUGGGCGUAAAGCGUGCGUAGACGGUUAUUUAAGUCGGAUGUGAAAGCCCCGGGCUCAACCCGGGAACUGCAUCCGAAACCAUCUCGCUCGAGUGUGGGAGAGGGAAGCGGAAUUCCUGGUGUAGAGGUGAAAUUCGUAGAUAUCAGGAGGAACACCGGCGGCGAAGGCGGCUUCCUGGCCCAUUACUGACGUUCAGGUACGAAAGCGUGGGUAGCAAACAGG
rnacentral:rRNA from 1 species